AGUGAACGCUGGCGGUAGGCCUAACACAUGCAAGUCGAACGGCAGCACAGUAAGAGCUUGCUCUUACGGGUGGCGAGUGGCGGACGGGUGAGGAAUACAUCGGAAUCUACUUUUUCGUGGGGGAUAACGUAGGGAAACUUACGCUAAUACCGCAUACGACCUACGGGUGAAAGCAGGGGAUCUUCGGACCUUGCGCGAUUGAAUGAGCCGAUGUCGGAUUAGCUAGUUGGCGGGGUAAAGGCCCACCAAGGCGACGAUCCGUAGCUGGUCUGAGAGGAUGAUCAGCAACACUGGAACUGAGACACGGUCCAGACUCCUACGGGAGGCAGCAGGGGGGAAUAUUGGACAAUGGGCGCAAGCCUGAUCCAGCCAUACCGCGUGGGUGAAGAAGGCCUUCGGGUUGUAAAGCCCUUUUGUUGGGAAAGAAAAGCAGCAGGUUAAUACCCCGCUGUUCUGACGGUACCCAAAGAAUAAGCACCGGCUAACUUCGU
rnacentral:rRNA from 1 species